AAAUCUGAGACAGCCUUGGUCUGAGGGAGAAAAGACAGAGAAUUCAUGUGCUGCCCAGGCAUAGCCACAUAGCAGGUGGACAUCCCUGGACACUUUUCUGAGAUUUUAUGUCAUAGACCCUCAUUGGAUUUUCCUGGAAGUAUGGAGAGUUACAUCCAGAGAACUCUGAACAUUUUGGAAGAACCCCAAUCCUGCAAACAAUGAAUGGCAAUAAAUCCUGGGACUGGAAAGGGGCUUCUCAACCCCAAGGGCAACCAUAAAGUCCUAUACAAAGAAAGAUACAGCAGUGUGAAAGAGGCCUGGAUGGAAAAACAAAGACAGAGCCAGUGAGCCAGAGCCAGAGCCAGAGAACAAGAGAGAAAGGCAGAGAAUGGAAAACACAGACAGAGAAGGCAGAUGCAUAGAAAGACAGAGAUUCAAUGAGAAAAUAAGGAAGGAAGAAAGAAAGAAAACAAAAACGUUCUCAGCACUACAACUUCUGCCUUGUUCUGUUCCAGAACAGUAUGAGCUCAGUACUUUUUCAGUCUCUCAAUUUUCUACAACUAAUAAUUUGCUCUUUCAGUUAGUGGCAAAGGCUUAACAACAAAGGUUCAUCUUUAAUAUUAGAGAGGCACUUUUAAAAUUUAUGAUGCUAAGCCUUUUGUUCUGGAUAUGGUAUGUUGCACAGGUCUAAGG
rnacentral:antisense_RNA from 1 species